AACAUCGCGCACCUGCGGGAACCUGCGGAGGGAUCAUUGACAAAUCUCUAAAACUGCUGCUCUCUCUCCCAUAAAAAGGAGGGGGAAGCAGUAAUAACAUUCUAACCUGUGAAUCGGCAGUGUUCUCUUGUAGUUCGCUGUUUGCGUUUUGGUGUUGGGUUACCUUUGUGGCGACUUCAGCCAAAGCUGCGCACAUUAACGUCUAUGUAAUUGUCUUAGCAUUAUGCAAAAACAAAAACA
rnacentral:misc_RNA from 1 species